rnacentral:rRNA from 1 species
CGUAGGUGGCAAGCGUUGUCCGGAAUUAUUGGGCGUAAAGCGCGCGCAGGCGGCUUCUUAAGUCCAUCUUAAAAGUGCGGGGCUUAACCCCGUGAUGGGAUGGAAACUGAGAGGCUGGAGUAUCGGAGAGGAAAGUGGAAUUCCUAGUGUAGCGGUGAAAUGCGUAGAGAUUAGGAAGAACACCGGUGGCGAAGGCGACUUUCUGGAUCGACAACUGACGCUGAGGCGCGAAAGCGUGGGGAGCAAACAGGAUUAAGAUA